UAACGCAGCGAAAGCUGUGCUAAUACCGCAUACGAUCUACGGAUGAAAGCAGGGGAUCGCAAGACCUUGCGCGAAUGGAGCGGCCGAUGGCAGAUUAGGUAGUUGGUGAGGUAAAGGCUCACCAAGCCUUCGAUCUGUAGCUGGUCUGAGAGGACGACCAGCCACACUGGGACUGAGACACGGCCCAGACUCCUACGGGAGGCAGCAGAU
rnacentral:rRNA from 1 species